rnacentral:rRNA from 1 species
CCUACGGGUGGCAGCAGUGAGGAAUAUUGGUCAAUGGACGGAAGUCUGAACCAGCCAUGCCGCGUGCAGGAAGACGGCUCUAUGAGUUGUAAACUGCUUUUGUACAAGGGUAAACCUGAACACGUGUAUUCAGCUGAAUGUACUUUACGAAUAAGGAUCGGCUAACUCCGUGCCAGCAGCCGCGGUAAUACGGAGGAUCCAAGCGUUAACCGGAUUUAUUGGGUUUAACGGGUGCGUAGGCGGAUUGAUAAGUUAGAGGUGAAAUGUCCGGGCUUAACCCGGGAACUGCCUCGAAAACUGGUGAUCUAGAGAGUAGAUGCGGUAGGCGGAAUGUAUGGUGUAGCGGUGAAAUGCUUAGAGAUCAUGCAGAACACCGAUUGCGAAGGCAGCUUACCA